CUGGCAUGAAAUGCCAAAUGCUAUCUGGAAGAAGGGAAACAUAAUCCCUCUGGGAAUUAUAUCAUAUACUUUUCUGCUUGUUCCCUCUUCAGGUAUGCAUAAAGCAUUUCGAACAGGAUUUCGCCCAAUUUAGGGACAAUAACUGUUUGGACGAUGUUAGAUAAGAAUCCUUCUUCUUAGGUACUUGUAGUGGAGGUUAAUGUUUUAUUGACAUGUGGGGUACUGCCUUCUGAACGAAUUGUGGGGCUUCAGUUGCAGGACCUAUAGGAAAUCCUGCAAGUUAAAAGGAAAGAUGAUUUAGUAUCUCCAGUUGAAGCAGGAUGGAUUACUCAUCUAUGAAGUUCUAAGUACUGUGAGCAGGUAUGCAAAGGGCUCUGUUCCAAGGUGCAAUACACGGCAUGUGAUUUUUGUCUGGUGGGCUACCAUCUAGCAACGCAAUGUUUUUUAUGUCCACAACUGUGCACCCAAGUUACAUUGAAACUAUAGGAGACACUAGGUCACAAGAGGCAAGAGUACGUUAGACAGCAAAGCAGAACUGUAUGAUAACAUUAAUCUUGAAUUCUUGGCCAUGACCUCACUAAGCAAGCAUGUCACAAGCUCCAGUUGUUGAAGUUUGCAACUUCCUCUUAUUUUUUCUUAUGGGGUCUUCAUUUAUUUUGAUAUGGAUCUGAUGAUGUUGUAGUUGCAUGCUUAUACCUAAAUGUGCAAGUUGCAUUAUGGCAUGGUAAAAAUAAAUAUAUGGUUUCACAUGGUCCAUUUUUAUUUCAUUUUGUGGAAUCAACCACUGCAGAAAGAUUAAUUCUUCCAGUCUUAUGGAGAAGUAUAAGUAGAAUAGUUCUAAACUCAUUGGAAAUUUUGGGUUGCAGGAUAGUAAAUAUAAGUUAAUUGAAGCCAUUGAACUUGUGUUGAUAGAGUCCCGCUCCCCCACUGUAGUAAUUCUGCUACACUAGUUUGGCAGGUCAGCAUGAUGUAUAAAGUUGUCCUGAGCUUGGUCUCUUGCCUUUAUCGGCUUCCUUACAAGCAUCUGAGUACCAUUGUUCUGUAGAAUGACCAGCAUUUUGUUUCCUUGUUAUCUUCUUCUAAGUAAUUCAACAUGUAAUGACAGUAGAAUUUGGUUAUUGCUGGGGGCUCUUAAAACUGGUUUUAAUUCUAUAUGGAUGCAGAAGAGAAGUUCAUCUUGUAUUCAUGCUAACUCAUCGGCAAUGCAAGAGCAGCACAGUGGAUGGAGGGGACAGAAAGGAGACAAAACUUGAUAAUGAGUUUGACCCCAACGCAAAAAAGAAAUGCGGAAAUUCUCUAAUUUCAUGGUCAAGACAAACAAGCCAUCAUCGGCUUUUAUCUGUAAAUGUUGCUUUACCUCUCUCAUGGAGGCACGUGACUGGACCACGUGGAUCGAGGUUGGUGUCCAACCAUCCAAGUCAGCGCUCGCGACUGGCAACAACAACUGUGAAAAUCUAUUUAUUUAUUUUUCGAAGAAAAGAAAGCCUCUCUCUUUAGCUUUCUCGUGAGGUCAUGACUAAUGAAUCAUGAUCCUUAACGUGGGCCCUAUCCGAUUGUUGUAAUGUUAUCGGCACCACCUUCGUACCAUAUACACAGGCCCUUCCUGGUGUGCUUGGCUCAGGGUCCCUAAGGCCUGGACUGGGUUGAGCUUUGUUCUGGCCCAUGAUCACCGCAUUUCGGAAGCCUAGUAGAAUGGGGGUAGUAGUUGUUGACAGACCUUCAACUAUUGUAUCAUCAAACAGCUGAUAUUCACCCCAAGACUUUGUACUUAACCUAAUCCAAAAGAUUGAGGAAUGUAUAACAACGAUCAGGAAUCAGGUAAUCGCGACACUCGCAAUUAUCCUUAAAAACUUAUCCGACCUCUGAACAUAUCCAUGGCACCGAUUUGGCUA
rnacentral:sRNA from 1 species